rnacentral:tRNA from 1 species
GAUCCCGUGGUGUAGCGGGUAACAUGCCUGCCAGUCACGUAGGAGAUCUCCAGUUCGAUCUCGGUCGGGACCGCCA